rnacentral:rRNA from 1 species
AUUUGUCUGGUUAAUUCCGAUAACGAACGACGACCUUAACCUGCUAACUAGAUUCUUCUAUUUUAUAGAUGAUAUCUUCUUAGAGGGACUAUGUAAUACAAAUACAUGGAAGUUUGAGGCAAUAACAGGUCAGUGAUGCCCUUAUAUGUCCUGGGCUGCACGCGUGCUACACUGAUGCAUACAACAAGUGCCUAGCCAGACAUGGUAUGGCAAUCUCGAAUAUGCAUCGUGAUGGGGAUAGAUCUUUGCAAUUAUAGAUCUUGAACGAGGAAUUCCUAGUAAGUGCAAGUCAUCAUCUUGCAUUGAUUAUGUCCCUGCCCUUUGUACACACCGCCCGUCGCUCCUACCGAUACCGGGUGAUCCGGUGAACCUUUUGGACUCAUUUGGGAAAGAUAAGUAAACCAUAUCACCUAGAGGAAGGAGAAGUCGUAACAAGGUUUCCGUAGGUGAACCUGCRGAAGGAUCA